rnacentral:tmRNA from 1 species
GGGGCCGACCUGGCUUUGACAGCGUGUCGAUUCCUCGUGUAAGCAUGCAGAGCAUUGGGAAUGCGCUCUUUAAUCUGGACUCCCAAGCCAUAUUUGGCGACAACAACUACGCACUCGCUGCAUAAUCGGUCUAAGACCGAUCAUCUUAAUCCACUCCGAUAGUCGGGGGGACGAGUUACCCGGGUGAUGAUUCCUGUUCUACUGUCAUCACUGAUCGGGUAUCGUUGAGUAGAACUAGGGACCUGACUCACUCUUAGAAAGGCCCGAAAUACCCAAUGAGUUAAGCUUGAGUUCGGCUGUCCUUGGCCAGGCUCAGGUCGAAAAUCCAAUCAAGGAAUAAGCAUGUAGAAAGCCCGAAAGGGAUUCACGUUUGGACGGGGGUUCGACUCCCCCCGGCUCCACCA